rnacentral:rRNA from 1 species
AGGCGUCGAGCGGCGGACGGGUGAGUAAUGCAUAGGAAUCUGCCCGGUAGUGGGGGAUAACCUGGGGAAACCCAGGCUAAUACCGCAUACGCCCUACGGGGGAAAGCAGGGGAUCUUCGGACCUUGCGCUAUCGGAUGAGCCUAUGUCGGAUUAGCUAGUUGGUGAGGUAACGGCUCACCAAGGCUGCGAUCCGUAGCUGGUCUGAGAGGAUGAUCAGCCACAUCGGGACUGAGACACGGCCCGAACUCCUACGGGAGGCAGCAGUGGGGAAUAUUGGACAAUGGGCGAAAGCCUGAUCCAGCCAUGCCGCGUGUGUGAAGAAGGCCUUCGGGUUGUAAAGCACUUUCAGUGAGGAAGAAAGCCUUGAGGUUAAUACCCUCGAGGGAGGACAUCACUCACAGAAGAAGCACCGGCUAACUCCGUGCCAGCAGCCGCGGUAAUACGGAGGGUGCGAGCGUUAAUCGGAAUUACUGGGCGUAAAGCGCGCGUAGGCGGCUUGAUAAGCCGGUUGUGAAAGCCCCGGGCUCAACCUGGGAACGGCAUCCGGAACUGUCAGGCUAGAGUGCAGGAGAGGAAGGUAGAAUUCCCGGUGUAGCGGUGAAAUGCGUAGAGAUCGGGAGGAAUACCAGUGGCGAAGGCGGCCUUCUGGACUGACACUGACGCUGAG